CUGGGACUAAACCUUAAUAGAUCUAUGGUGGACUAAACUAAUUGGCAGAAGAAGCAGCUGCAGGGGGCAGGGCUGGAGCACAGGUUGGCAUCGACUCUAACCCUUGCUCUAACCCCGCCCUCGGUGUCUCGGGGGCGGGCACAGCUCAGAGCGCGCCGCACCCUUCUCCCGCGGAGCCCCAAGCGCGCGACUGGAACAGGUAACCGCCGCUCACUUCCGGAAGCACCGACCGUGUGUCUGAGGUGAUCCCGCUCUGGAGUGUACCCUCUUCGGUUACAGGCCCAUGGAGAGUCCGUGACAGUCUCCGGCGGCUCGGACCCACUGUGCGUGAAGGAGGAACCCCGCUGUGAGUGAAGCGCGCCCGGAGGGAGCUCGGGUUGUCCCCUCGGCUCUGGUUCCAAGAUUCUCUCCACAUCCUGCUCGCCCCUCCGCAGAUAUGGGCUGUCAGUGCACCCUCCAGCAGACCGGGGCCAUCUGAGAACUGGGACCCUCUUCCUCUUCUCCUCAUAAUCCUCUUCGUCCUCAUCCUCAUCUCCCUGCACCUGCCAAAACAUGGACAUCGACAAAGAUGACGUGCCUGGGUGCUACUUGAACCGCAGCGUCAAGUUCUUCUACACGGAGAGCGGGAAGAACAUCAGUGACCACUGGAGGAAGCGGGACUACGUGGUGGUUACCCUGGGCUUGACCGUGUGCUUCAUCGUCAUCUUCUCCAACCUGCUCGUCAUCCUUGCCAUCCUCAAGAACCGGCGCUUCCACUUCCCCAUCUACUACCUGCUGGGCAACCUGGCACUGUCCGACCUCUUCUCAGGGGUGUCCUACCUCCACCUGAUGUUCCACACUGGACCCUGGACCAUAAAGCUGACCAAGUAUCAGUGGUUUGUACGCCAGGGCCUGAUAGACACCAGCCUGACGGCCUCCGUGCUCAACCUUCUGGCCGUGGCUGUGGAGAGACACCAGACCAUCUUCAGCAUGCAGCUUCACAGUGAGAUGAGCAGCCGGCGCGUGCUCAUCAUCAUCGUAAUCAUCUGGGUGCUGGCCAUCCUCAUGGGACUGGUGCCCACCAUGGGCUGGCACUGCCUGUGCGACCUGCCCGCCUGCUCCACCAUGGCCCCGCUCUACAGCCGCAGCUACCUGGUCUUCUGGGCUGUCCUCAACCUGCUCACCUUCUCCAUCAUGCUGGCCGUCUACACGCGCAUCUUCCUCUAUGUGCGCCACAAGAGCCGCCAGAUGUCCCAGCACACGUCCCACCUGCGCCACCGCGAGACCGUCCUCAACCUCAUGAAGACCGUGUCCAUGAUCCUGGGCUGCUUUGUGCUGUGUUGGACUCCGGGGCUGGUGCUCCUCCUGCUGGACGGUCUGGGGUGUGACCGCUGUAACGUGCUGCGCUAUGAGAAGUACUGCCUGGUGCUGGCCGAGUGUAACUCCUUUGUGAACCCCAUCAUCUACUCGUUCAGGGACGCAGACAUGCGCCGCACCUUCAGGGAGCUGCUGUGCUGCCUGUGGCGGCGUAAGGCCGACCCCACCCUCUCCGGAGUCCACUUCAACACGCAGGAGCACGAGGUACUGUCCGAGAGCAACGGAGACCCAACUAACUACACGCUCACCUCUAACUCCGCCCAAUCAUGAUGGCGAGGACCAUCACUGACUCUGCCCACUGAGGUGGGGCUGACCUACUGACUCCACUCACUUUGAGGACGGGGGCGACAUACUGACUCCGCCCACUCAUGGGAUGGGGCAGACCUACUGAUGCUGCCCACUCAUGAGGACUUAUCUACUGACUCCGCCCACUCCCAAUGUUGGACUUACCUACUGAUCCCUCCCACUCCCAAGGUCACACUGACCUACUGGCUCCUCCCUCCAAUAUUAGGGUGGGGCCCACUCACUGUCUCCUCCCACUGACAGUACUUGUCAAUAUUCACCACUGAACUGCUUAAAGACUGUGUGCUUCUGAUGUAGCACUGCUCUGGUGACGUCCUGUACACCUGUCUGUGGCUCUGCUGUGGAGGAGACUGUGUGACCGCUGAAGACUUUAAACAUGGCCAAGUGAGAGGGUCUGAUCUUCUCCACACCAGACCCUGCUCCUCCUCUCUCUCUCUGGGCACCUCCUGAGCCCUCUUUUCCUCACAUGGACCUCUGUAUGCUGCACCUGAUGCCCUCACCUCUCAAGAACCAUAAGUGGGCGAGUGACGAGGAAGAGCGCCACAACGGGACCCCCCUCACCGAGCCCUCCGAGCAGGACAGAGCGGAGCCGUCCCGCACCUGGAGCUAACCAUGCCACACCCAAUCUCCCACCCUACCACACACACGCAGGCGCGCACACACACACACAGGCACACACACACACAGGCACAGGCACACACAGGCACACACACACACACACCGCUGAGAAAUGGACCUCUCUACUGUAUAGAAAUGUAGCUGCAAUGCCAAUCCCCAGUUAUAUUAGUUUUAUUUUAAUUUAAUAUAUUUUUUAACUCUUGAUGAAUUUUGGAGCCAUGACUUUGCCUUUUGAAACGACUCAGUUGUCAGAUUUUUACUGUGUUUUAUUUAUGUUUUAACAUGUUUUUGAACUGUCUACGCUGAUGAGAUUAAAGCAUAGCAUGAACACAA